GUCAUUUUAGGUCUCAAUUUAACUCUGUCAAACAUGCAAGCGUAAACAUCAAGGCCUUGCGGCCCUGUGCUAAUGUGUGUGUUAGUUGCAGUGGGGAUUGAGGAUUGAGGAUUGAAGCAACCUUCAACCCACUCCCCCAACCUCCAACCUCCCUCCUCACACUCGACUUGUAAUGAUCCUUCCGCAGGUUCACCUACGGAAA
rnacentral:misc_RNA from 1 species